CANCGGCGGCCCGAGUGGUGAUCGUGAUUAUUGGGUCUAAAGGGUCCGUAGCCGGUUUGGUCAGUCCUCCGGGAAAUCUGAUAGCUCAACUAUUAGGCUUUCGGGGGAUACUGCCAGACUUGGAACCGGGAGAGGUAAGAGGUACUACAGGGGUAGGAGUGAAAUCUUGUAAUCCCUGUGGGACCACCUGUGGCGAAGGCGUCUUACCAGAACGGGUUCGACGGUGAGGGACGAAAGCUGGGGGCACGAACCGG
rnacentral:rRNA from 1 species